GUGUAACUGAGAUGGCUCACUUGGUAGAGCAUGAGACUCUUAAUAUCAGAGUCGUGGGUUUGAUCCCCAUGUUGGACA